rnacentral:rRNA from 1 species
UACGUAGGAUGCAAGCGUUGUCCGGAUUUACUGGGCGUAAAGAGCUCGUAGGCGGGGACGCGCGUCUCGGAGGAAAUUCCAGGGCUCAACCCUGUAGCUUUCCGAGAUACGGCGUCUCUUGAGGGCAGAAGAGGAGAACAGAAUUCCCGGUGUAGCGGUGAAAUGCGUAGAUAUCGGGAGGAAUACCAGUGGCGAAGGCGGUUCUCUGGUCUGUCUCUGACGCUGAGGAGCGAAAGCGUGGGUAGCGAACGGGAUUAGAUACCCUGGUAGU